AGGACGAACGCUGGCGGCGUGCUUAACACAUGCAAGUCGAGCGGAAAGGCCCUUCGGGGUACUCGAGCGGCGAACGGGUGAGUAACACGUGAGCAAUCUGCCCUUAGCUUCGGGAUAGCUCCGGGAAACCGGAAUUAAUACCGAAUAUGACUUCGGCCGACAUCGGCCUUGGUGGAAAGUUUUUCGGCUAGGGAUGAACUCGCGGCCUAUCAGCUUGUUGGUGGGGUAAUGGCCUACCAAGGCGACGACGGGUAGCCGGCCUGAGAGGGCGACCGGCCACACUGGGACUGAGACACGGCCCCAGACUCCUACGGGAGGCAGCAGUGGGGAUAUUGCGCAAUGGGCGAAAGCCUGACGCAGCGACGCCGCGUGGGGGAUGAAGGCCUUCGGGUUGUAAACCCCUUUCAGCAGGACGAAGCGAAGUGACGGUACUGCAGAAGAAGCGCCGGCUAACUACGUGCCAGCAGCCGC
rnacentral:rRNA from 1 species